rnacentral:rRNA from 1 species
UACGUAGGGUGCAAGCGUUGUCCGGAAUUAUUGGGCGUAAAGAGCUCGUAGGCGGUUUGUCACGUCGGAUGUGAAACCCUGAGGCUCAACCUCAGGCCUGCAUUCGAUACGGGCAGACUAGAAUUCGGCAGGGGAGACUGGAAUUCCUGGUGUAGCGGUGAAAUGCGCAGAUAUCAGGAGGAACACCAAUAGCGAAGGCAGCUCGCUGGGACGGUACUGACGCUAAGGCGCGAAAGCGUGGGGAGCGAACAGG